rnacentral:rRNA from 1 species
CACGUAGGGUGCGAGCGUUGUCCGGAAUUAUUGGGCGUAAAGAGCUCGUAGGCGGUUUGUCGCGUCGGGAGUGAAAACCAGGUGCUUAACACCUGGCUUGCUUUCGAUACGGGCAGACUAGAGGUAUUCAGGGGAGAACGGAAUUCCUGGUGUAGCGGUGAAAUGCGCAGAUAUCAGGAGGAACACCGGUGGCGAAGGCGGUUCUCUGGGAAUGACCUGACGCUGAGGAGCGAAAGUGUGGGGAGCGAACAGG